rnacentral:rRNA from 1 species
GAGUAACACGUGGAUGAUCUACCUUCUGGUGUGGAAUAACCCUGGGAAACCGGGGCUAAUACCGCAUAAGCACGAGAGUGGAAAGCAGCAAUGCGCCGGAAGAGGAGUCCGCGGCCGAUUAGCUAGUUGGCAGGGUAAAAGCCUACCAAGGCAAAGAUCGGUAGCCGGCCUGAGAGGGCACACGGCCACACUGGCACUGAAACACGGGCCAGACUCCUACGGGAGGCAGCAGUGGGGAAUCUUGCACAAUGGGGGAAACCCUGAUGCAGCGACGCCGCGUGAGCGAUGAAGCCCUUCGGGGUGUAAAGCUCUUUCGGCAGGGAAGAUGAUGACGGUACCUGCAGAAGCAGCUGCGGCUAACUACGUGCCAGCAGCCGCGGUAAUACGUAGGCAGCAAGCGUUGUUCGGAGUUACUGGGCGUAAAGGGUGUGUAGGCGGUUGUUUAAGUUUGGUGUGAAAUCUCCCGGCUCAACUGGGAGGGUGCGCCGAAUACUGAAUGACUCGAGUGCGGGAGAGGAGAGUGGAAUUCCUGGUGUAGCGGUGAAAUGCGUAGAUAUCAGGAGGAACACCGGUGGUGUAGACGGCUCUCUGGACCGUAACUGACGCUGAGACACGAAAGCGUGGGUAGCAAACAGGAUUAGAUACCCUGGUAGUCCACGCCCUAAACGAUGCAUAUUUGGUGUGGGCAGUUCAUUCUGUCCGUGCCGGAGCUAACGCGUUAAAUAUGCCGCCUGGGGAGUACAGUCGCAAGGCUGAAACUCAAAGGAAUUGACGGGGGCCCGCACAAGCGGUGGAGCAUGUGGUUCAAUU